rnacentral:lncRNA from 1 species
GUCAGAACGCAGAGAUGGCUACUGACUCAGACCUUUCUCCAUUUUAUUUAGUCUAGGAUCCCAGCCCCUGGGGUGGUACUAUCCAUGUAUCCAUGUUCAGGGUGGAUUUACACCCUCAGACACACCCAGAGGUCUGUCCCUCUGGUGAUUCUAAAUCCAGCCACAGAGGCCAUUCAUAUAGUUCAAACCACCUUAGUCAGCAUUGAUCACCUCCCUUUGACUGAGUCAGAGAACACUCCAAAUUCAUAGAUUUUUUUAUAUGAUGAAUGCUAGCUAUAUGCAAAAUCUUGGAUUUGCGUAUGACUUCAAGAACAUCUACCAGCACUGUAUGAGAGAGAAAAAGCCAGCCUCCUCCAAUAACUUGGCUUAAACAAGCUAUUUAUUGUACUCAGCAUCUUUCAGCACUAGGAGAGCUAACCAGUAUAGAAGAAGUCUCUGGGAAAUUUGAUUUUUCCAUAUUCUAUAACUCAAGUAUGUGCUGUCUUCAGAGAUAAGGUCUCACUGGAAAGUUCUGAAGAGUUACUGAGAGAAGUGACAAUGGCUCAUAAUAUUUAGAGGUUUGGGAGGCCUCACUGCUCAGAAGCUCCAAAAGAAGUAACCCAUCCUGGACUGGGGGUUUUAUUUGUAAGGGUUUCCUGUAUUUUAGUGACUAAAAUCUAAGUUGCAUGGCAAAAGCUGAUGUCAUGGGCAGGAAUGACACUUGUUUCACAUGGAAAAGCACUAAAUAUAUUCAACAAUAAUAUAACCUGUCACUCUCUUAUUAUAAC